ACACAUGCAGUCGACGAACCUUCGGGUUAGUGGCGGACGGGUGAGUAACGCGUGAGAAUCUGCCCUCAGGAGGGGGAUAACAGUUGGAAACGACUGCUAAUACCCCAUAUGCCGAGAGGUGAAACGAAUUUUGCCUGGGGAUGAGCUCGCGUCUGAUUAGCUUGUUGGUGGGGUAAAAGCCUACCAAGGCUUCGAUCAGUAGCUGGUCUGAGAGGACGAUCAGCCACACUGGGACUGAGAUACGGCCCAGACUCCUACGGGAGGCAGCAGUGGGGAAUUUUCCGCAAUGGGCGCAAGCCUGACGGAGCAACGCCGCGUGAGGGAUGAAGGCCUUUGGGCUGUAAACCUCUUUUCUCAAGGAAGAAGAUCUGACGGUACUUGAGGAAUAAGCCACGGCUAAUUCCGUGCCAGCAGCCGCGGUAAUACGGGAGUGGCAAGCGUUAUCCGGAAUUAUUGGGCGUAAAGCGUCCGCAGGCGGCCGUUUAAGUCUGUUGUUAAAUCGUGGAGCUCAACUCCAUCACGGCAAUGGAAACUGUUCGGCUUGAGUAUGGUAGGGGCAGAGGGAAUUUCCGGUGUAGCGGUGAAAUGCGUAGAUAUCGGGAAGAACACCAGUGGCAAAAGCGCUCUGCUGGGCCAUUACUGACGCUCAUGGACGAAAGCCAGGGAGCGAAAGGGAUUAGAUACCCCUGUAGUCCUGGCCGUAAACGAUGAACACUAGAUGUUGGGGGAAUCGACCCCUCC
rnacentral:rRNA from 1 species